AGGUGCUAAGCCUAUCCGCUUGUUCUUGGGGUUCUAAUUAAAUUCCAUGCUGGUUUGAUUAACACUGGCAUUUGCUUUUUCCUAGUGGAAAUAAGCUUUUGUAUAAAAGAGCUUGACUGACUCACUUUUGGUUGGAAGGCUUGAUAAUUACAGAAUUUUUUAAUGUGAUAUCAACUUUCUGCAUGGGCUUUGUAAUACAUGACUUUUGUAAGUUGUACUGAGUUAUAUAAGUGCACAUUUUUAAAACUUUCUUCUCAAAAGGCCAAAGGGAAAAUUUUACUAAGUUUCUAUGAAAGAAGGCAUGAGAAACAACAUAAAAUGAAGAAUGCACACAGCAUCAAGAUAUGGACUGAUUUUGUUUUGAACCCAUUCAGAUGCAGUGCUGACUUUUUUGGGUCUAGAAGCUUUAUCAUUCCUUCAUGUUCUGGUUCUAAGUGAUGAUGAAGCACAUCAUGUCAGUGCUGUAAGAUGAGGAAGAAAGAAGUUUCAAAACUAAUGGAGUGUGUGUUUACAUGGUUUGAGGAACACAUACCAUGCAGAAAACACAUUUAAAUCCAAGAACCUCCUAACCUUCUGCUCUCAUUAUUCCCCAAAGUUUUUCUUAAAGAUAAUCAAUACAACAAAUUUUGAAAG